ACAUGCAAUUUAAUUCAGUAGAUAAGAUGGACCACCCCCUCUGCCUGUAUGGUUGUGACAUAUGAGAAAGAUGUGGGACUACAAGACCCGAUUAAGUUAAAUGCCAAGUGGUGAGAACAAGAAACAACGUGAAAAAUAAUAGAUACCCAGAAUGUGAUGUCAAUGUGAAAUGGAAUUAGAAUCAAAAGAUGCCAGAGCAAGGACGUCGUUACCAAAAUUCUCUCGCCAGAAAGAUGGCUGUUCCCGGAUCCUAAAAGCUGGGAGUCCCUGGCUCUUGAGCACUCAUCUGGAUUUUAACCACUACUUCCUCAGUUGUUAUGCAACGACUCAGCAGCCACAAGCACCAAGCUACAGGUCCUGAGGAGGUCAAUGGCAGCCCAGGAACGCUACAACACGAAGCAAGUCCAUUACAAGGAGCA